rnacentral:piRNA from 1 species
AGGGCUUCUGUCGUGAGUGGCAC